GACGAACGCUGGCGGCGUGCUUAACACAUGCAAGUCGAACGGAAAGGCCCUGCUUUUGUGGGGUGCUCGAGUGGCGAACGGGUGAGUAACACGUGAGUAACCUGCCCUUGACUUUGGGAUAACUUCAGGAAACUGGGGCUAAUACCGGAUAGGAGCUCCUGCUGCAUGGUGGGGGUUGGAAAGUUUCGGCGGUUGGGGAUGGACUCGCGGCUUAUCAGCUUGUUGGUGGGGUAGUGGCUUACCAAGGCUUUGACGGGUAGCCGGCCUGAGAGGGUGACCGGCCACAUUGGGACGGAGAUACGGCCCAGACUCCUACGGGAGGCAGCAGUGGGGAAUAUUGCACAAUGGGCGGAAGCAUGAUGCAGCAACGCCGCGUGCGGGAUGACGGCCUUCGGGUUGUAAACCGCUUUCGCCUGUGACGAAGCGUGAGUGACGGUAAUGGGAAAAGAAGCACCGGCUAACUACGU
rnacentral:rRNA from 1 species